rnacentral:lncRNA from 10 species
CGCCGUGCACCCAGGGGGUUUUGUGAGACGAGAGAUAGAGUCUUGCUAUGUUGUCCAGGCUGACACUGAACUCUUGGGCUCCAACGAUCCUCCUGCCCCGGCCUCCUGAGUACCUGGGAUUAUAGGCACAAGUCACCAUGCCCAGCCGGAAUAAUCUGAAGGAAAGACGGGUAUAUUCAAGAUGACUUUGCUGCUGGAAAUAUGACAGAAUAAUGUGGUAUCUUCUUCUGCACUUCCAAGCUCUUUCACACUCAGGCUCUUCCUGGCUUUUCUGCCUCAGCCACCAUAAACUGUGGUUGCUUCUCCAGCUCUGUUACAGUUCAGACUUGAGGGGAGGUGACAAGAGCUAACAUGUUACCAUGGGGAGCCUGGCUGACAUCUCCGAAACUGAAGACUCUAUGGAAGCCUCAUGCUAUUGCAAUGUGUACAUCAAAAGUAAAGUACCCCAGGUUAAAACUAUGAGGAAGUUGCCAUCUUUACUUCCAGGAGCAAAG